CGUUAUUAGUCCUAACCCCAAUUCCAAUCAAAUCUGGGAUUGUCCGGGUUCAUCGCAAAAGCCCAGUAAACACAGCAUAUACAUUUUCUUGCAAAACAAAUCAAUACAGGAAAUCUGUUUAUUUCUUUUCAGAUCUUCAUGGCUAAUCACUACGGUUUCUUCUCACUCGGAGCAAAUUAUAAUAAACGGUGGUGAGACAGCGAAGGACACUUCGAAACUAUCGGAUUCAAAGCGUUGGAGAAGAGAAUAAUAAAAUGGCGGCAGGUGGAUUUGUGAGCCGAGCAUUCGAGUCGAUGCUCAAGGAAUGUUCCAGCAAAAAACAUCCUGAUCUUUACAAGGCUAUUCAAACUUAUUUAGAUGGUCCGAAACAAAGGGGUC